AUUGAACGCUGGCGGCAUGCCUUACACAUGCAAGUCGAACGGCAGCACGGGUGCUUGCACCUGGUGGCGAGUGGCGAACGGGUGAGUAAUACAUCGGAACAUGUCCUGUAGUGGGGGAUAGCCCGGCGAAAGCCGGAUUAAUACCGCAUACGAUCUACGGAUGAAAGCGGGGGACCUUCGGGCCUCGCGCUAUAGGGUUGGCCGAUGGCUGAUUAGCUAGUUGGUGGGGUAAAGGCCUACCAAGGCGACGAUCAGUAGCUGGUCUGAGAGGACGACCAGCCACACUGGAACUGAGACACGGCCCAGACUCCUACGGGAGGCAGCAGUGGGGAAUUUUGGACAAUGGGCGAAAGCCUGAUCCAGCAAUGCCGCGUGUGUGAAGAAGGCCUUCGGGUUGUAAAGCACUUUUGCCCGGAAAGAAAUCCUUGGCCCUAAUACGGUCGGGGGAUGACGGUACCGGAAGAAUAAGCACCGGCUAACUACGUG
rnacentral:rRNA from 1 species